CUCUCUCUCCCUCUCUCUCUCUCACUUUAAUACAAUAUGAAAAGCUUCUCAGCCUGAGGAUAAACUCUUGAAGAUGUGAAGACUCUGCGGUCAUCAGAGAACUUAGGAAGGUUAAAGACCAGUGGAGCUGCUGCAUUCUGGAUGAGCUGCAGAGGCUGAAUGGUGGUAGCAGGAGACCUGCAGGAGAGAGUUACAGUAGUCCAGGAGGGAGACGACAAGAGCCUGAAUCAGUACCUUCUGAGUGAGAAGAGGACGUGUUCUCCUGAUGGUGUAGAGCGAGUACACUACUCCAUAAGUCACAGUGAGGAACAUCAGAACAUUAUUCCAUCAGAACAUCACUCCUCUUCACACCUCAUGUUCCUCAUGCAUUAAAUAAGAGUCGAUGUUAAAUCACUCAGGUCCAACCCCGACGAUACAGAGAGCCGCGUCCUGCUUCUUCUUCUGCUUUGAUAUUCAAUGUGCUGCUACAUGAGCUGCAUACAUGCAACAUCAAUAUGUGAUAUAUUCAUAUCUUUGUUUCUGUCUGGAAUAAAUUUAUCAUGAAACAAUUACAGAGGAACAGCUGAUCAUCUCUGGAGAGAAA